AGUAACACGUGGGGAACCGUGCCCCAUAGUCUGGGAUACCACUUGGAAACAGGUGCUAAUACCGGAUAAGAAAGCGGAUCGCAUGAUCAGCUUUUAAAAAGGCGGCGUAAGCUGUCGCUAUGGGAUGGCCCCGCGGUGCAUUAGCUAGUUGGUAAGGUAAAGGCUUACCAAGGCGAUGAUGCAUAGCCGAGUUGAGAGACUGAUCGGCCACAUUGGGACUGAGACACGGCCCAAACUCCUACGGGAGGCAGCAGGG
rnacentral:rRNA from 1 species